ACCUGAGCUGAGAUCAAGAGUCUGACACUUAACCGCCUGAGCUGCCCAGGGAAGUUAUCAGUGGGGGUGCUGGAACUCCCAUUCUCUCCCAGCAGUCAUGAGGAGCAUCUCAGCUUGGAAGUCAAGAAGGCCAAGUGCAAACCUGCACUUUCACCCCCACCUGGCAGUAAUGAGGCAGCACUCCCUUCCCUGGCUGGAGUGGGGUCAGAAAAAGCCAUACAGGGUUUAAGUAAGAUCCAGAGUCUCAUAACAUAUUAUCUAAAAUGUCCUGAUUCCAUUAAAAAAUCAUUGUCCUAUCAAGAACCAGGCAGAGCCCAAAUAGAAUGAAAAAAUACACUCAACAGAUGCCAACACUGAGAUGGCAGAGAUGUUAGAGUUACCUGGCAGAGAUUAUGAAGCAUUCAUCAUAAAAAUGUUUCAACUAGCAACUAUGAAUACACUUGAAACAAGUGAAAAAACAGAAAGUCUCAGCAAAGAAAUAGAAGAAGAAGCAAUUAGAAAUUUUGAGAAAUAAAAAAAUAUAGUGAAAAACUAAAAUGAAAAACUCAAUGGAUGAGCCCAGUAGCAGCAUCUAGGAGACAGAGGAGAGAAUCCAUGACCUUGGAGACAGGACAAUAGAAAUUACUCAAUCUGAGCAAUAGAGAGAAUAGGCUGGAAAAAAAAA